rnacentral:rRNA from 1 species
UGCCACCUUAGGUCAAG